rnacentral:lncRNA from 1 species
UUGGAUUGGACAAUCCCAGUUUGAAACAAUAAUAGUAUCAGAGCAAUGAACAUAUGGCUGUUACUAUCAGCACUGGUGUAUUUGCAGCGAUGCCUAUCAACAUCCACCAGAGAGCAGGGCAGCUCCAAAACCCACAUCUUUCAUGCUGUGGAAAUUGAUGGAGACAGCAACACAGCCAGCUUCUUGGCCAAACAACAUGGAAUGCAGUUCAUUUCAAAGCCUGUAAGGCUUGUGCAUGAUGUAUAUGAGAGCGAUUUCCAGCAGAGAGAAGCUUAUCACAGAUCCACCUAAAAGGUAAGGCUAUUUUUUUAAUUUUUAGUUCAUAUGCAGAACAGCUGCCUGAAGAACACCUGCACACAGAACAGAAAAGAAAUUUGGUUUAAGGGUUGAUUAUACACAUCUUACCCAUACCAGAAAGCAUGAUGAGUUUCAGAUAAACCCAGAAUAUAUAAAUGGUAAGAACAAGAAUAUCAGAGUAUUUACCCCCUAUUUUUUUGCUACUCUUUAUUAUAGUGCUUUUUUUUUUAUAUAAUCUUUCUCAUCAACUUGGUGAGGAUAAAGGAGAAAAGCUUUAAUAUAUUUCAGAUUUGUUUAGUUUUCCAAAUCUGUAGUAUUCACAUCCAAGAUUUAGAAAAGUUGAACUAUAAAUCUGGCAGACAACAUACACAGAAGAAUCAUUGCCAUCAGCAUUCCUUGUUUUUACUAAGGAAAACAAAUGAGCAUGAAGAAAAUAAAACAGAAAAGCAGGAGGAGCA